UACAGAGGUCCCAAGCGUUGUUCGGAUUCACUGGGCGUAAAGGGUGCGUAGGUGGUGAGGUAAGUCGGAUGUGAAAUCUCGGAGCUUAACUCCGAAAUGGCAUUGGAAACUACCUUGCUCGAGGGUUGGAGGGGGGACUGGAAUACUUGGUGUAGCAGUGAAAUGCGUAGAUAUCAAGAGGAACACCAGUGGCGAAGGCGAGUCCCUGGACGAUACCUGACACUGAGGCACGAAAGCCAAGGGAGCAAACAGG
rnacentral:rRNA from 1 species